rnacentral:rRNA from 1 species
AACGAACGCUGGCGGCAGGCCUAACACAUGCAAGUCGAACGCCGUAGCGAUACGGAGUGGCAGACGGGUGAGUAACGCGUGGGAACAUACCCCUCGGUUCGGAAUAACUCAGGGAAACUUGAGCUAAUACCGGAUACGUCCAAGGUUUUAAUCGACCUUGGAGAAAGAUUUAUCGCCGGAGGAUUGGCCCGCGUCUGAUUAGCUAGUUGGUGAGGUAACGGCUCACCAAGGCGACGAUCAGUAGCUGUCUGAGAGGAUGAUCAGCCUCAUUGGGACUGAGACACGGCCCAAACUCCUACGGGAGGCAGCAGUGGGGAAUAUUGGAC